ACAGCCCAGACCACCAGCUAAGGUCCCAAAAUAUAUGUUAAGUGGAAAAGGAUGUGGCGUUGCCCAGACAACUAGGAUGUUGGCUUAGAAGCAGCUAUCAUUUAAAGAGUGCGUAAUAGCUCACUAGUCGAGUGACACUGCGCCGAAAAUGUACCGGGGCUAAACAUAUUACCGAAGCUGUGGAUUGUCCUUUGGACAAUGGUAGGAGAGCGUUCUAAGGGCGUUGAAGCAUGAUCGUAAGGACAUGUGGAGCGCUUAGAAGUGAGAAUGCCGGUGUGAGUAGCGAAAGACGGGUGAGAAUCCCGUCCACCGAUUGACUAAGGUUUCCAGAGGAAGGCUCGUCCGCUCUGGGUUAGUCGGGUCCUAAGCUGAGGCCGACAGGCGUAGGCGAUGGAUAACAGGUUGAUAUUCCUGUACCACCUAUAAUCGUUUUAAUCGAUGGGGGGACGCAGUAGGAUAGGCGAAGCGUGCGAUUGGAUUGCACGUCUAAGCAGUAAGGCUGAGUAUUAGGCAAAUCCGGUACUCGUUAAGGCUGAGCUGUGAUGGGGAGAAGACAUUGUGUCUUCGAGUCGUUGAUUUCACACUGCCGAGAAAAGCCUCUAGAUAGAAAAUAGGUGCCCGUACCGCAAACCGACACAGGUAGUCAAGAUGAGAAUUCUAAGGUGAGCGAGCGAACUCUCGUUAAGGAACUCGGCAAAAUGACCCCGUAACUUCGGGAGAAGGGGUGCUCUUUAGGGUUAACGCCCAGAAGAGCCGCAGUGAAUAGGCCCAAGCGACUGUUUAUCAAAAACACAGGUCUCUGCUAAACCGUAAGGUGAUGUAUAGGGGCUGACGCCUGCCCGGUGCUGGAAGGUUAAGAGGAGUGGUUAGCUUCUGCGAAGCUACGAAUCGAAGCCCCAGUAAACGGCGGCCGUAACUAUAACGGUCCUAAGGUAGCGAAAUUCCUUGUCGGGUAAGUUCCGACCCGCACGAAAGGCGUAACGAUUUGGGCACUGUCUCAACGAGAGACUCGGUGAAAUCAUAGUACCUGUGAAGAUGCAGGUUACCCGCGACAGGACGGAAAGACCCCGUGGAGCUUUACUGUAGCCUGAUAUUGAAAUUCGGCACAGCUUGUACAGGAUAGGUAGGAGCCUUUGAAACGUGAGCGCUAGCUUACGUGGAGGCGCUGGUGGGAUACUACCCUAGCUGUGUUGGCUUUCUAACCCGCACCACUUAUCGUGGUGGGAGACAGUGUCAGGCGGGCAGUUUGACUGGGGCGGUCGCCUCCUAAAAGGUAACGGAGGCGCUCAAAGGUUCCCUCAGAAUGGUUGGAAAUCAUUCAUAGAGUGUAAAGGCAUAAGGGAGCUUGACUGCGAGACCUACAAGUCGAGCAGGGUCGAAAGACGGACUUAGUGAUCCGGUGGUUCCGCAUGGAAGGGCCAUCGCUCAACGGAUAAAAGCUACCCCGGGGAUAACAGGCUUAUCUCCCCCAAGAGUUCACAUCGACGGGGAGGUUUGGCACCUCGAUGUCGGCUCAUCGCAUCCUGGGGCUGUAGUCGGUCCCAAGGGUUGGGCUGUUCGCCCAUUAAAGCGGUACGCGAGCUGGGUUCAGAACGUCGUGAGACAGUUCGGUCCCUAUCCGUCGUGGGCGUAGGAAAUUUGAGAGGAGCUGUCCUUAGUACGAGAGGACCGGGAUGGACAUACCUCUGGUGUACCAGUUGUCGUGCCAACGGCAUAGCUGGGUAGCUAUGUGUGGACGGGAUAAGUGCUGAAAGCAUCUAAGCAUGAAGCCCCCCUCAAGAUGAGAUUUCCCAACUUCGGUUAUAAGAUCCCUCAAAGAUGAUGAGGUUAAUAGGUUCGAGGUGGAAGCAUGGUGACAUGUGGAGCUGACGAAUACUAAUCGAUCGAAGACUUAAUCAA
rnacentral:rRNA from 1 species